rnacentral:rRNA from 1 species
UACGUAGGGUGCAAGCGUUAAUCGGAAUUACUGGGCGUAAAGCGUGCGCAGGCGGUGAUGUAAGACAGGUGUGAAAUCCCCGGGCUUAACCUGGGAACUGCAUUUGUGACUGCAUCGCUGGAGUGCGGCAGAGGGGGAUGGAAUUCCGCGUGUAGCAGUGAAAUGCGUAGAUAUGCGGAGGAACACCGAUGGCGAAGGCAAUCCCCCUGGGCCUGCACUGACGCUCAUGCACGAAAGCGUGGGGAGCAAACAGG